CCGCCCAUAGCUCAGUUGGUAGAGCAGCGGCCUUUUAAGCCGAGUGUCCCAGGUUCGAGUCCUGGUGGGCGGA
rnacentral:tRNA from 1 species